CUGCUACAGCAGCAUGUACACUAAAACUGGGACGAUGCGGAGAAGAUUAGCAUGGCCACUGUGCAAGGACGACAUGUGAAUUCGUGAAGCAUUCCAUAUUUUU